rnacentral:rRNA from 1 species
GACGAACGCUGGCGGCGUGCUUAAUACAUGCAAGUCAACUGAACUUGAGAUAGCAAUAUUUUAAGGGAGGUGGCGCACGGGUGAGUAACACGUAGGUAAUCUGCCUUUAGGUCUGACACAACCCCGAGAAAUCGGGGCUAAUUUCAGAUGAUGCAGCGGCUCGACAUCGAGACAGUUGUUAAACCUUCGGGGCCUAAAGAUGAGCCUGCGUCUGAUUAGGUAGUUGGCGGAGUAAUAGCCCACCAAGCCAUCGAUCAGUAGCUGGUCUGAGAGGAAGAUCAGCCACACUGGGACUGAGACACGGCCCAGACUCCUACGGGAGGCAGCAGUUGGGAAUCUUGGACAAUGGGGGAAACCCUGAUCCAGCCAUGCCGCGUGAGUGAUGAAGGCCUUCGGGUUGUAAAACUCUUCGUCGCACGACGAUAAUGACGGUA